UUAGGGGAAUCUUGAGGCUUGAGGGUUCCUAGUGCAUGGAUUUGGCUACAGUGUAGAACUUAAAAUUUCUUCCUUAGAGAUAGGUACCACUUACUCUUGUAAAGCUGAGAUGUCCCUGGGACCAGUCUGCCUUCAUUCUUCUUCUUUUUCUUCUUCUUAUUCUUCUUUUUUUUUUUUUUUUUUUGGUGAGGAAGAUUGGCCCUGAGCUAACAUCUCUUUCCGGUCUUCCUCUUUUCGCUUGAGGAAGAUUGUCACUGAGCUAACAUCUGUAGCAGUCUUCCUCUGUUUUGUAUGUGGAAUGCUGCCUCAACAUGGCUUGAUGAGUUGUGUGUAGGUCCGCACCCAGGAUCCAAACCUGCGAACUCUGGGCUGCCCAAGCAGAGUGCACAAACUUAACCACUACGCCACUGGGCUGGCCCCCUUCAUUCUUGAAUAUGCACUUUCCAUGAGACACAGGACUUUUUGGGCCCUUCUGACGUUGUUAAUAGUGAGUCCAUGUUGACUCAUUCCAAGAUUGGAAUAUCAUGCCUGUCAAAAAGGAGCCAGCAGACCCAAAGUGGAGUCACUUGUGCUAAACCCCAUAUCAGCAAAUCAAGACUCAAUACCUGACCUAAUUACAGUUUGAAGCUCUCUUGGAGUGUAACCUUUGACCAGUCAACUUGGAAUGACCUGGUCAGCACUAGUGAGAUUUAGUGGCAGUGGCAGGACCAGAGGAAACUUUUGAUGGCUUUGGGGAUGAGGGAGACAGGUGUGGUACCAAGGAACCCUGUUGAGUUCUCCGCCUUUCUUGCCAUUUUCAGGGAGAUGGAGGGUAUGGCCAAAAUUAAGAGCUCUAUUUAAUUGACUUAAAACAGUUAUUGUUUUACUCUGAUGCUUUUGCAAAGGUUUCAUCUUCAGAGAGCUUCAUGGAAAGGGCUCUGACACAUGGAGAGUACUCUGACACUCUAAAACACAGGUUUCUGAUAAACUUUCAGAUCAUAAAAUUGAACUGGGUAAGAAGUUACAAAGUGCAAAUGGAGAAACUAAUGACUCUGUGAAACUGCUAACAGAAGAUCAAGAUCAAGAGUUGAUUACAUGAGACUGAAUGAACUGAUGAGAAUGAUUAUAAUUUUUAUGACUUUGAAAUAUUGCUCAUUUUUUAAAUGUUUUUUCCAGAUUUAAGGAAACAUUUUUCUCUUUUAUCUUAA
rnacentral:lncRNA from 1 species